CAUGCAGUCGAGCGAACUGAUUAGAAGCUUGCUUCUAUGACGUUAGCGGCGGACGGGUGAGUAACACGUGGGCAACCUGCCUGUAAGACUGGGAUAACUUCGGGAAACCGAAGCUAAUACCGGAUAGGAUCUUCUCCUUCAUGGGAGAUGAUUGAAAGAUGGUUUCGGCUAUCACUUACAGAUGGGCCCGCGGUGCAUUAGCUAGUUGGUGAGGUAACGGCUCACCAAGGCAACGAUGCAUAGCCGACCUGAGAGGGUGAUCGGCCACACUGGGACUGAGACACGGCCCAGACUCCUACGGGAGGCAGCAGUAGGGAAUCUUCCGCAAUGGACGAAAGUCUGACGGAGCAACGCCGCGUGAGUGAUGAAGGCUUUCGGGUCGUAAAACUCUGUUGUUAGGGAAGAACAAGUACGAGAGUAACUGCUCGUACCUUGACGGUACCUAACCAGAAAGCCACGGCUAACUACGUGCCAGCAGCCGCGGUAAUACGUAGGUGGCAAGCGUUAUCCGGAAUUAUUGGGCGUAAAGCGCGCGCAGGCGGUUUCUUAAGUCUGAUGUGAAAGCCCACGGCUCAACCGUGGAGGGUCAUUGGAAACUGGGGAACUUGAGUGCAGAAGAGAAAAGCGNAAUUCCACGUGUAUCGAUGAAAUGCGUAA
rnacentral:rRNA from 2 species